UAUUGGUUGUAUGUUACUAGUAUGUAGUAGAUAAUACUAGGUUCAUCUUGGUGUGAAGACUCCUUUGAAUGAGUUAGAUGGUAAUAUAAAUUUGCCACUAGAGAUCAUAUUUCAAUAGUAGAUAAUACUAGGUUCAUGUAUAUGUACUAAUGCUUCUAAUGCAUAGCAUGCAAGUGUUGUUUAAGUAAUAACAUAUAACCACGAAACCAGGUUUAGUUACACAUCAACUGUUGUAGAAAUGUCAGAAGACACUGCAUCUGAAGUGUAGGCACUUGAGCUUAAAAGCCUUGUAACAUUCAACUGCAAUGGCUUUUUAGACUUCGUUUGUGGUCUGAAUUCCAAACCAAGCUUAACCGCACCACAUAUGAGUAUGUUUUUAUUUUAGGUAGGUGGUUUGGAAUGCACUUUGCCGAACAAGGUAACCUUGUCCAGGCCAUUGCUACAAAAGUUGAAACAAGUAAUCCCUGUGGAUCACGAGAGUUAGUCCUCUUUUGCUUACCUUGCAUUCAAUACAGUUCGCUAGAAACUGCAUUGGAAGUCCAGCAAAAAAUCCAUGAAUUUUUUCCCACACCAUAGAUGCAGUGCUGAAGAAAGAAAGUCUAAAAUGAUCUUCUAAAUUGUUGUCAGCUCAAGGACUCCCAGCGUCGCGAUAUGUCAACAGUGACAAAAGUUGAUUAUGGAAAACCCUCCCUGGAAGCCUCAUUUUAUAGAGGUUUUGAAAUAUGCUGGAAUGGUUUUGUAUUUGUUCUGGACAGUCAUGCAACUAUUGAAUUAUUUAGUCAUUGUUCAUAGCACUCUCUAUGGAAUGGUUUUGUAUUAUUUAGUCAUUUUUUUAAAAACUUACUGCAGAGACAAUAAAACAACGUCUAGAAAAACAAAGGCAGAUAUUGGACAGGACUGUCCAUUUAUUUUGAAAGAUUUUCCAGACAAACCCAUCCAUGGCGAGGCCCAUCAUGUUAACCUCUAUUUGUUGCAAGGCUCAUCAGGUUAAUGCACUAGAAACUUUGAACCAUGGGUUCCAUCUCAACAAAAUGGGCACAUCAUACACAUUCGUAAUCUUUUGAGUCUAUUACCGGGUAUACUAUUUAAAACUGAAUGUUUGCAAUUCAAUUCACAUUUUUUCCUCAAUUCAAUUCACUUGUGCAUUCAAAUAAAACCUAUAUGUGCACACAAUUUUAACCAUACACAAAAAUAUCUUUCCGAGAAAAAGCUCUAAUGGGCCACAUCAAUGGGAACAAUGUAUACUGCUCCUAAAAUCUCUAAUAUUGCACAGUGUGGGCCAUUUGAUAUUUUGAUCAAGCUGACUUUUGUAUCUUCCCUUCAUGCCGGUGAUUAACAGGUUCGAUGAAUACAAUCCAUAGUGGCCCCACACACAAACUGGCAUCCAUCCCCUUGUUCCCCUAGGCUUGGCCCAUCUGCCUAAUUUUUAUUUUUAAUUUUUUUUGCCACAGGUCCUUAGAAUAGAGGAUAUGACUUAGUAGGCACAGUGGAUUUUACGUAUACAAUAUAGUGGGCCUCACAAGGCUGAGUGUUUUACAUGCAUUUCCUAGAACAGGCGUUGCAUAGGAUUCCGGUCCUCUUGUCUCAUAGGAUGUCAAGUGUGAAAAUAGACUUACUACGAUGCAAGCAGUAGAGCAUUAUUUGAUGAAUGAAUGAAUGAAUGAGGUGUACUUGCACCUCUAUGAAAUUCCAUAACUGUCAAAUCAAGGGACCCAAAACCACUACCUACCUCCAUUGCCCACACCCGUGUUUCGGGCAGUAGGCUCACACUCAGGCUGCAUUUGAUUCUUGAUAUGCAAGCACUUAUAUAAAUUAUACACCUAGCAUACGUUAGUUCAAAUAAAACUAACGAAAUUGUGGAACCCACCUUUGCUAAGUCACAUUCCAAAAUUAAGACUGCUUGAACACUCCUAGCCUCUGAUUUGUGGACACUUGGCAGUUGAAGCAGGUAAUCACAUAUUUUUCUUUUUCAAUCCAUUAAUCAGAUAAUCAUAUAAAAACUGUAAUUUUUGGUCCAUGAUACGUCUAUUUUGGUUUCCAUAAUUUCGACCGUUUAAUUUAAAUCAUUUGGGUGCCACCCAUCAACCAUCAUAUAAAUGGUUUAAAUUAUUAAUUCCUGCCGCAGAUCCAAAUUAAGUGAUCAAGCUUUUGGAAUUACACACAUGCAAUAUCCAGAUACUGGUCCCUACAGUGGAUGAUCAUAAAAAUCUUACCUAGAAGGUGAUCUUUACCACUGAUAAGAGGGAUGGUUACAAUCUACGUUUGGAAAAAAGUCCAACCAAUGGUGGAUGUAAAAUGGGCAAAGUGCAUCUGAUCAAUGGCUAGGAUCAUCUAAAUAGUUUAAUAAUUUGUGGCCUAUUCGUGGAACAUAUCAGACAUGUGGGCCAUAAUGAGGAGAAAAAUGUUUAUUUUGUACAAAAUAAAUUUUACAUGCUUGUGUAAUGCCUUUUCAUUGUCAGCAAACUAAUGCAAUACCAGGUGAAUUGCAUUCACCUGGUAUUGUCCUCGCCAAUUUGCAAAGGUUUGCAAGUAGCUUUAUUUUGUUGUAUGUAUAUAUAGAGAGUUUUUAUGCCUUUGUUUGCUAGGCUUAGUGAACAUUUCAAGGUUUUGGGUUAAAUGCAUUUUGAUUAUUUUCAGCCAGUUAAGACAUUACAUGGUUUUACUUGGUUAAAAUCCCUCAAUCCUCUAUAAAAUCAUAUUUCAUAUAGCAACAGUGGAAGUGGGAGCUGCAGAUACCAGAAGACCGUGGCCAGGCGAUCUCACAGGUGGCCUAUUGGGUUUGUCAAGAGAGGAUUUGUUCAUGGAAGGUUUGCAUUUCCUUCUGCUGCCACUCCUUCUGAAUUCCUUAUUCUGAACUAGAAUUAAUGGAAAUGAUUUUUGUAUUUUUGUUUAAACAUCUUAAUAUUGUGCCAUGUGCAUUUGUUGUAUGUGGCUGCAACACCAAGCCAGUGGUAGAAGCCUUCUGUGAGGCGGCAUUGCUUGCUCGGCUGAGAGGAGAGCAGUGGAGUGAGAUACAAGAGAAGGGGAGGCCUAAGAUUUUUGUGCUGUCAAGGAAUCUGAGGUCUGCCGCCUAUCGGCUUGCCCUUACAACCAUUGUAGUGGAACAGCUGGAAGACCUGGAGUUCACUGCAGAUGGAUCCUCUCCUGCCAAAUAAAUCCAUUGCAUUUCCAGGCCUUGGCACGCUUUCAGGAAGUCACCAACAGAUAUUGCCAAGAAAAGAAAUCUGUAUGUUUUGAUUCGCCCAACAUCUUUCCAUAUACAUUUUUUUAUAAAGCAGAAUUGUAUUAGAAAUUGCAGUCUUAAUUGAGUAUGGAGUCCUGAUGUCGCUUGUAAUCAUAAUUUGGUUCAGACUAGAAAUUAAAUAGGAAUUCGAGUUGUUAAUGGAAAUGUGCAUCUAGAUAUUGCUUG